CCAUGGCACCAUGUGCAGGAGUUUGGCCUCAUGAAAAUGAUACUCCAGACAAUAAUCUACUACACAUACAGCAAUCCAGGCUACCCCUGCUUCUCUAACUAGACUAGACACAGGCUGCCAGUGAACAUACUGAAAGCUGCCGAGAUCUAAGGUGGAGCCAUGCUUGGUGAACCAGGAGGAACUGCCCAUGGAGGAGCCUUUCACCACAGCUGAGAGUUCAUGGCUAAACAUCCUGUGAUGAAUGAGGAACUAACAUACAGACCCUUGUUCACUUUUCCUCUAUGGAUAAAUUCCUGGCGCCAGAGAGAAUUUCAGGACUUUGCCUUACAAUUGAUUUUUUUAUGCAAAUAAAGUGAGGAUGUGUGCAAGAGUAUUCAUAUGGUAUGCUGACUGAAUUGGAAAAGUCCCAACCAGCUAUUCACUGCACUGAGUGUUGGACUUACUAUUGUAGAUUGAAACGUCUAUCCCAGCUAAAAAAGAAGAUAAUUUCCUACACAGAAGGACACAUACUCCUCAAAAGAAAAAGAUGAAGGAUACAUCCCAUUUCCUU